rnacentral:rRNA from 1 species
CGGGGUGCAGCAGGCGCGAAAACUCCACAAUGUACGACAGUACGAUGGGGUUAUCUCGAGUGCAGUCCGAUAAGGGCUGCUUUUCCAUAGAGUAAUGUCCUGUGGGAAUAAGAGGGGGGCAAGACUGGUGUCAGCCGCCGCGGUAACACCAGCCCCUCGAGUGGUGGGGACUAUUAUUUGGUCUAAAGCGUCCGUAGCUGGCUGUAUCCGUCCCCCGUUAAAUCCAGCGUCCUAAGCGUUGGACUGCGGGUGAUACCAUACAGCUAGAGGGUGGGAUAGGUGAGCGGUAUUUCUGGGGUAGGGGCGAAAUCCUUUGAUCCCAGGAGGACCACCAGUGGCGAAGGCUGCUCACUAGAACACGCCUGACGGUCAGGGACGAAAGCUGGGGCAGCGAACCGGAUUAGAUACCCGGGUAGUCCCAGCUGUAAACGAUGCCAGCUAGGUGUUGGGUCGGCCACGUGCCGCCUCAGUGCCGCAGGGAAGCCGUUAAGCUGGCCACCUGGGGAGUACGGCCGCAAGGCUGAAACUUAAAGGAAUUGGCGGGGGAGC